rnacentral:rRNA from 1 species
AAUAAGCUAUUUAAGAGCGUACGGUGGAUGCCUAGGCUCUCAGAGGCGAUGAAGGACGUGAUAAGCUGCGAUAAGCUGCGGGGAUUGGCACACACAAUUUGAUCCGCAGAUUUCCGAAUGGGGAAACCCACUAUAUUGAAGAUAUAGUAUCCGUUAAGGAAGCAAACCCAGGGAACUGAAACAUCUAAGUACCUGGAGGAAUAGAAAACAAAAGUGAUUCCGCUAGUAGUGGCGAGCGAACGCGGAAUAGCCCAAACCAAAAUUGUUUCGGCAAUUUUGGGGUUGUAGGACCACGUUAUUGAAUGUUCAAUGAAUUAGAAUUCUUUGGAAAAAGAAACCAUAGAGGGUGAUAGUCCCGUACAAGUAAAGAGAAUUAUUCAUAGUGGUAUCCUGAGUAGCGCGGGACACGUGUAAUCCUGUGUGA